rnacentral:rRNA from 1 species
AAUGAACGCUGGCGGCGUGCUUAACACAUGCAAGUCGCACGAGAACGCUUCAGCUUGCUGGAGCUAGUAAAGUGGCGUACGGGUGAGUAACGCGUGGGUAAUCUAUCUCUGAAUUGGGGAUAACAUUGCGAAAGCGAUGCUAAUACCGGAUAAUAUCCAUUAAGCCUCGGUUUUUUUGGAUCAAAGGUGGCCUCUACAUGUAAGCUACUGUUCGGAGACGAGCCCGCGUACCAUUAGCUUGUUGGUAGGGUAAUGGCCUACCAAGGCAACGAUGGUUAGCUGGUCUGAGAGGAUGAUCAGCCACACUGGAACUGACACACGGUCCAGACUCCUACGGGAGGCAGCAGUGAGGAAUUUUGCGCAAUGGGGGAAACCCUGACGCAGCAACGCCGCGUGAGUGAUGAAGGCUUUCGGGUCGUAAAGCUCUGUCAAGUGGGAAGAACCCGUGCCGCACAAAUAGUGCGGUGCGCUGACGGUACCACUGAAGGAAGCACCGGCUAACUCCGUGCCAGCAGCCGCGGUAAUACGGGGGGUGCAAGCGUUAUUCGGAAUCAUUGGGCGUAAAGAGCGCGUAGGCGGUCUUCUAUGUCAGGUGUGAAAGCCCGGGGCUCAACCCCGGAAGUGCACUUGAAACUG